rnacentral:rRNA from 1 species
CCUACGGGAGGCAGCAGUGGGGAAUAUUGGGCAAUGGGGGAAAGCCUGACCCAGCAACGCCGCGUGAAGGAAGAAGGCUUUCGGGUUGUAAAGUUCUUUUGACAGGGACGAGCAGAAUACGGUACCUGUCGAAUAAGCCACGGCUAACUACGUGCCAGCAGCCGCGGUAAAACGUAGGUGGCAAGGUUUUUCCGGAUUUGCUGGGGGUAAGGGGGGGGUGACGGGGCUGACAAGUCAGAUGGGAAAUCCGGGGGCUCAACCCCCGAACUGCAUUUGAAACUGUUGGUCUUGAGUAUCGGAGAGGCAGGCGGAAUUCCUAGUGUAGCGGUGAAAUGCGUAGAUAUUAGGAGGAACACCAGUGGCGAAGGCGGCCUGCUGGACUACAACUGACGGUGAGGCGCGAAAGCGUGGGGAGCAAACAGGAUUAGAUACCCUAGUAGUC